AAAAGCUAAUCGAACCCGGAGAUAGCUGGUUCUCCUCGAAAGCUAUUUAGGUAGCGCCUCAUAUGUAUCCUCUCGGGGGUAGAGCACUGUUAUGGCUAGGGGGUCAUCGCGACUUACCAAACCAUUGCAAACUCCGAAUACCGAGACGGACUGUAUGGGAGACACACGGCGGGUGCUAACGUCCGUCGUGAAAAAGGGAAACAACCCAGACCCACAGCUAAGGUCCCAAAUUUUUGUGCUAAGUGGAAAAACCAUGUGGAAAGGCACAGACAGCCAGGAGGUUGGCUUAGAAGCAGCCACCCUUUAAAGAAAGCGUAAUAGCUCACUGGUCGAGUCGGUCUGCGGGGAAGAUUUAACGGGGCUAAGCACAGAACCGAAGCUUGGGGUGCAUAACUUUGUUAUGCGCGGUAGAGGAGCGUUCCGUAAGCCGUUGAAGGUGGAUUGAGAAGUCUGCUGGAGGUAUCGGAAGUGCGAAUGCUGACAUGAGUAACGAUAAUGCGGGUGAAAAACCCGCACGCCGAAAGCCCAAGGUUUCCUUGCGCAACGUUAAUCGGCGCAGGGUGAGUCGGCCCCUAAGGCGAGGACGAAAGUCGUAGUCGAUGGGAAGCAGGUUAAUAUUCCUGCACCUCGCGUAAGUGCGAUGGAGGGACGGAGAAGGUUAGGUGUACCAGGCGUUGGUUGUCCUGGGGAAAGGCGGUAGGUUUGGAUCUUUGGCAAAUCCGGGAUCCU
rnacentral:rRNA from 1 species